rnacentral:tRNA from 2 species
GCCCGGAUAGCUCAGUCGGUAGAGCAGUGGAUUGAAAAUCCACGUGUCGGCGGUUCGACUCCGUCUCCGGGCACCA